rnacentral:lncRNA from 1 species
GGCAGAGCCACAGAGCCUCUGAGACAGCACCCUUUUUGGGUCACAGACAGCCGGCCACCCUCCCGACCAGAGGAUAGGUGUCCGCCUGGCUCAGAAGCCCUCAGCCUCAGGAGCAGUGGACGCCAUCUUGGUUCCAGGACUCCGCUGAACUUAGGAACUUAGUCUGCACAGGUGAGAGUGUGCACCACAGAAGCUGACAGCUUCUGGGACCUGCCAAAGCAACACAGCUUCUGGGAAAGGUCCUGUUUUGGGCCUUCUUCUUCAGCCAGGAGGAGGUCCAAACACAAGAUAUACUCUGAGCACUGAAACUCAGAGGAGAGAGUCUGUCUCCAAGGUCUGCUGAAAGAUGGUAACAGAAUCACCAGAAGAACAAUCUAUAAACAGAGUCAACUAUAAAAACUAACUCCAGAGAUUACCAGAUGGCGAAAGGUAAACGUAGAAAUCUUACUAACAGAAACCAAGACCACUCACCAUCAUCAGAACCCAGCACUCCCACUUUGCCCAGUCCAGGGCACCCCAACACACCCAAAAAGCUAGACCCGGAUUUAAAAGCAUAUCUCAUGAUGAUGGUAGAGGACAUCAAGAAGGACUUUAAUAACU